GAUGAACGCUGGCGGCGUGCCUAACACAUGCAAGUCGAGCGAACUCUUCGGGGUGAGCGGCGGACGGGUGAGUAACGCGUGGGUAACCUGCCCUAUACACACGGAUAACGUACCGAAAGGUACGCUAAUACGGGAUAAAGUCGUUGGAUGGCAUCUUCUAACAAUCAAAGCUGCCGGCGGUAUAGGAUGGACCCGCGUCUGAUUAGCUAGUUGGUGAGGUAAUGGCUCACCAAGGCGACGAUCAGUAGCCGACCUGAGAGGGUGAUCGGCCACACUGGAGCUGAGACACGGUCCAGACUCCUACGGGAGGCAGCAGUGGGGAAUAUUGCACAAUGGGCGAAAGCCUGAUGCAGCAACGCCGCGUGAGCGAUGAAGGUCUUCGGAUCGUAAAGCUCUGUCCUCAAGGAAGAUAAUGACGGUACUUGAGGAGGAAGCCCCGGCUAACUACGUGCCAGCAGCCGCGGUAA
rnacentral:rRNA from 1 species